rnacentral:rRNA from 1 species
AGUGAACGCUGGCGGUAGGCCUAACACAUGCAAGUCGAACAGCAGCACAGUAAGAGCUUGCCCUUACGGGUGGCGAGUGGCGGACGGGUGAGGAAUACAUCGGAAUCUACUUUUUCGUGGGGGAUAACGUAGGGAAACUUACGCUAAUACCGCAUACGACCUACGGGUGAAAGCAGGGGAUCUUCGGACCUUGCGCGAUUGAAUGAGCCGAUGUCGGAUUAGCUAGUUGGCGGGGUAAAGGCCCACCAAGGCGACGAUCCGUAGCUGGUCUGAGAGGAUGAUCAGCCACACUGGAACUGAGACACGGUCCAGACUCCUACGGGAGGCAGCAGUGGGGAAUAUUGGACAAUGGGCGCAAGCCUGAUCCAGCCAUACCGCGUGGGUGAAGAAGGCCUUCGGGUUGUAAAGCCCUUUUGUUGGGAAAGAAAAGCAGCAGGUUAAUACCCCGCUGUUCUGACGGUACCCAAAGAAUAAGCACCGGCUAACUUCGUG